CUGUAUUUGCCUGCACCCGCUUAGAUAUAAACCAGCGGGUGCCAAGCAACUCUGUUUCUCCCCGGGCUUACUUCCGCCCGGCGGUCUGGGACCGCGAGGAUUCCCUUUACUCGCGGCCAUUGCUAGGUGGUCGGAGCUAAUCACCUUCGGCGCGCUUCUCUCCUCUGAAGCGCGGGAAUUAUGAACGGCUCCUAGCUUUGACCCUGCUGUCCUCCGUACGCAAGUUUGUAUAUCUUUACUCCUAUCUGUUACUUUUGUUGGGGUUAAUCAAUCCCUAAAAAGCUCUCACUGUUAACCCUGAGAGCUCUGGACUCCCUUUCC